AUUGAACGCUGGCGGCAGGCCUAACACAUGCAAGUCGAGCGGAUGAAGGGAGCUUGCUCCUGGAGUCAGCGGCGGACGGGUGAGUAAUGCCUAGGAAUCUGCCUGGUAGUGGGGGAUAACGUCCGGAGACGGGCGCUAAUACUGCAUACGUCCUGAGGGAGAAAGUGGGGGAUCUUCGGACCUCACGCUAUCAGAUGAGCCUAGGUCGGAUUAGCUAGUUGGUGGGGUAAAGGCCUACCAAGGCGACGAUCCGUAACUGGUCUGAGAGGAUGAUCAGUCACACUGGAGCUGAGACACGGUCCAGGCUCCUGCGGGAGGCAGCAGUGGGGAAUAUUGGACAGUGGGCGGAAGCCUGGUCCAGCCAUGCCACGUGUGUGGAGAAGGUCUUCGGAUUGUAAAGCACUUUAAGUUGGGGGGAAGGGCAGUAAGUUAAUACCUUGCUGUUUUGACGUUACCAGCAGAAUAAGCACCGGCUAACUUCGUG
rnacentral:rRNA from 1 species